rnacentral:rRNA from 1 species
AUUGAACGCUGGCGGCAUGCUUUACACAUGCAAGUCGAACGGUAACAGGGUGCUUGCACCGCUGACGAGUGGCGAACGGGUGAGUAAUGCGUCGGAACGUGCCGAGUAGUGGGGGAUAACGCAGCGAAAGUUGUGCUAAUACCGCAUACGUACUGGGGUCGAAAGGGGGGGACCUUCGGGCCUCACGCUAUUCGAGCGGCCGACGUCUGAUUAGCUAGUAGGUGAGGUAAAGGCUCACCUAGGCGACGAUCAGUAGCGGGUCUGGGAGGAUGAUCCGCCACACUGGGACUGAGACACGGCCCAGACUCCUACGGGAGGCAGCAGUGGGGAAUUUUGGACAAUGGGCGAAAGCCUGAUCCAGCCAUGCCGCGUGUCUGAAGAAGGCCUUCGGGUUGUAAAGGACUUUUGUCAGGGAGGAAAUCCCUAGUGCUAAUAACACUGGGGGAUGACAGUACCUGAAGAAUAAGCACCGGCUAAUUACGUGCCAGCAGCCGCGGUAA